rnacentral:rRNA from 1 species
UGCAGUCGAACGCGAAAGCUCUUCGGAGUGAGUAGAGUGGCGGACGGGUGAGUAACACGUGGGAAUCUACCUCGUAGUGGGGGACAACUUGUGGAAACGCAAGCUAAUACCGCAUGCGUUCUGAGGAAGAAAGCAGGGGACCUUUCGGGGCCUUGCGCUAUGAGAUGAGCCCGCGUCGGAUUAGCUAGUUGGUGGGGUAAAGGCCUACCAAGGCGACGAUCCGUAGCUGGUCUGAGAGGAUGAUCAGCCACACUGGGACUGAGACACGGCCCAGACUCCUACGGGAGGCAGCAGUGGGGAAUAUUGCACAAUGGGCGAAAGCCUGAUGCAGCCAUGCCGCGUGUGUGAAGAAGGCUCUAGGGUUGUAAAGCACUUUCAGCAAGGAGGAAAGGGUAGUAGCUAAUACCUGCUAUCUGUGACGUUACUUGCAGAAGAAGCACCGGCUAACUCCGUGCCAGCAGCCGCGGUAAUACGGAGGGUGCGAGCGUUAAUCGGAAUUACUGGGCGUAAAGCGCGCGUAGGCGGUCUGUUAAGCUGGAUGUGAAAGCCCAGGGCUCAACCUUGGAACUGCAUUCAGAACUGGCAGACUAGAGUACAAGAGAGGUAAGUGGAAUUUCCCGUGUAGCAGUGAAAUGCGUAGAUAUGGGAAGGAACAUCAGUGGCGAAGGCGACUUACUGGCUUGAUACUGACGCUGAGGUGCGAAAGCGUGGGGAGCAAACGGGAUUA